CGCUCGUAGUCGGAUUUCGGGGCGGGCCGACCGGUCUGCCGAUGGGUAUGCACUGGCCGGCGCGUCCUUCCACCCGGAGACCGCGCCUACUCUUAACUGAGCGGGCGCGGGAGACGGGUCUUUUACUUUGAAAAAAUCAGAGUGUUUCAAGCAGGCAGUCGCUCUUGCAUGGAUUAGCAUGGGAUAAUGAAAUAGGACUCUGGUGCUAUUUUGUUGGUUUCGAACACCGGAGUAAUGAUUAACAGGGACAGUCAGGGGCACUCGUAUUCCGCCGAGAGAGGUGAAAUUCUCAGACCAGCGGAAGACGAACCACUGCGAAAGCAUUUGCCAGGGAUGUUUUCACUGAUCAAGAACGAAAGUUAGGGGAUCGAAGACGAUCAGAUACCGUCGUAGUCUUAACCAUAAACCAUGCCGACUAGGGAUUGGAGGAUGUUCCAUUUGUGACUCCUUCAGCACCUUUCGGGAAACUAAAGUCUUUGGGUUCCGGGGGGAGUAUGGUCGCAAGGCUGAAACUUAAAGGAAUUGACGGAAGGGCACCACCAGGAGUGGAGCCUGCGGCUUAAUUUGACUCAACACGGGGAAACUUACCAGGUCCAGACAUUGUGAGGAUUGACAGAUUGAGAGCUCUUUCUUGAUUC
rnacentral:rRNA from 1 species